GGAGGUAUAUUGUUUCGAUUUGGUAGGCAUCAUGGUAUUUCUAAGACUUCAUUAGAAUAUAGAUGGACAUACUAACAACAUUGCAUAUUUUAUGAUUUACUAAAGAAUAAAUGUUAAAAUACCAUAAGCUACAUAAAAAUCUAUAUUAUCUAAUUUAUAUCUCUAUUAUCUAAUUAUAUAUAAUCUAUAUCUAAUAAUAAAUAGGCAAAAAUUUAUGCUCUUUUUUUCGUCCAUCCAUUUUUUGUUUUUCUUCCUAUAACUACCGAACGCUGGAGAGUUUCUUUUAUCUAGACUUAUAUAUAUAACCCGUGCUCAUACAACUUAGAAAAACUUGCGUCUAAACCAAUAUGGAGUAGGAGUCUUAAUAUAAGUAGAUUCCUCACAUCCUAAGUAUUCUAAAAAGAACUCUUAAUAGUUAAAUAGUUUCUUGUAUCCAGACUCAUAUAUAUAGCCCAUACUUCGACAAGUUAGAAUAGCUUUUGUCUAACAUGAUAUAGAGUUCGAUUCCAAAACAUAUUGGAUCACGAACUGAACUCUAGAUUCGUAAUCUAUUCCUCCUUAAUAAUAGAAAGCCAAAAUUUGUGGCAUCCAAUUUUUUUCGUGCGGCUAAUCACCAGUGAUCUAUCCGAGUUCACCAUGAUUGUCUUAGUUUAGAUUGGAUCUUUUUUUUCCGUCUUUACUUUUUUUUUGCCAAUCACCAUUGUUUUGUCUGAGUUUAGCAUGAUUACCUUAGUUUGGAUUGGAUCUUUAUUUUUGUUUUCGUCUUUACUUUAUUUUUUCUCUCCGGCUCAUAGGUGUUGCGUACCUUGGGUCUAAAAGAGUCGCUCCCCAUCCCUUGGUGGUGUCAGUGACUUUUUUUUCUUUGAAGUAAUUAUAUCUUUACUUAUAAGAAUAAAGAUAAUUUUGGUCGAGUUCUUGGGUCAAAAAACUUGGAGGGACACAUCUCAAAAAAGUUUGAACUAAUUCUGAGAAAUUUACUCUUAGCUACAUAGAACAGAGUGAGUUCACUUAGUGAGGAAUGAUUGUGAAGAUUGUAGUGUCUAAAAAAUUAUUGCAGUAACAUAUAUAACAAAAUUAAACAAUGAAAAUCAAAAUUGAAAACUUAAAAAUAAUUAUCG
rnacentral:lncRNA from 1 species